rnacentral:rRNA from 1 species
AAGUGACGCGGUAGAGGAGCGUUCUGUAAGCCUGUGAAGGUGAGUUGAGAAGCUUGCUGGAGGUAUCAGAAGUGCGAAUGCUGACAUGAGUAACGACAAUGGGUGUGAAAAACACCCACGCCGAAAGACCAAGGGUUCCUGCGCAACGUUAAUCGACGCAGGGUUAGUCGGUUCCUAAGGCGAGGCUGAAAAGCGUAGUCGAUGGGAAACAGGUUAAUAUUCCUGUACUUCUGGUUACUGCGAUGGAGGGACGGAGAAGGCUAGGCCAGCUUGGCGUUGGUUGUCCAAGUUUAAGGUGGUAGGCUGAAAUCUUAGGUAAAUCCGGGGUUUCAAGGCCGAGAGCUGAUGACGAGUCGUCUUUUAGAUGACGAAGUGGUUGAUGCCAUGCUUCCAAGAAAAGCUUCUAAGCUUCAGGUAACCAGGAACCGUACCCCAAACCGACACAGGUGGUCGGGUAGAGAAUACCAAGGCGCUUGAGAGAACUCGGGUGAAGGAACUAGGCAAAAUGGCACCGUAACUUCGGGAGAAGGUGCGCCGGCUAGGGUGAAGGAUUUACUCCGUAAGCUCUGGCUGGUCGAAGAUACCAGGCCGCUGCGACUGUUUAUUAAAAACACAGCACUCUGCAAACACGAAAGUGGACGUAUAGGGUGUGACGCCUGCCCGGUGCCGGAAGGUUAAUUGAUGGGGUUAGCGCAAGCGAAGCUCUUGAUCGAAGCCCCGGUAAACGGCGGCCGUAACUAUAACGGUCCUAAGGUAGCGAAAUUCCUUGUCGGGUAAGUUCCGACCUGCACGAAUGGCGUAACGAUGGCGGCGCUGUCUCCACCCGAGACUCAGUGAAAUUGAAAUCGCUGUGAAGAUGCAGUGUAUCCGCGGCUAGACGGAAAGACCCCGUGAACCUUUACUGUAGCUUUGCACUGGACUUUGAGCCUGCUUGUGUAGGAUAGGUGGGAGGCUUUGAAGCGUGGACGCCAGUUCGCGUGGAGCCAUCCUUGAAAUACCACCCUGGCAUGCUUGAGGUUCUAACUCUGGUCCGU